AUUGAACGCUGGCGGCAUGCUUUACACAUGCAAGUCGAACGGUAACAGGCCGCAAGGUGCUGACGAGUGGCGAACGGGGGAGUAAUGCAUCGGAACGUGCCCAGUCGUGGGGGAUAACUACUCGAAAGAGUAGCUAAUACCGCAUACGAUCUAUGGAUGAAAGCGGGGGACCGUAAGGCCUCGCGCGAUUGGAGCGGCCGAUGUCAGAUUAGGUAGUUGGUGGGGUAAAGGCUCACCAAGCCAACGAUCUGUAGCUGGUCUGAGAGGACGACCAGCCACACUGGGACUGAGACACGGCCCAGACUCCUACGGGAGGCAGCAGUGGGGAAUUUUGGACAAUGGGCGCAAGCCUGAUCCAGCAAUGCCGCGUGCAGGAAGAAGGCCUUCGGGUUGUAAACUGCUUUUGUACGGAACGAAACGGCUCUGGUUAAUACCCGGGGCUAAUGACGGUACCGUAAGAAUAAGCACCGGCUAACUACGUG
rnacentral:rRNA from 1 species